rnacentral:rRNA from 20 species
UUUUGACCUCGGAUCAGGUAGGGAUACCCGCUGAACUUAAGCAUAUCAAUAAGCGGAGGA